rnacentral:rRNA from 1 species
ACUUAAAUUGAAGAGUUUGAUCAUGGCUCAGAUUGAACGCUGGCGGCAGGCCUAACACAUGCAAGUCGAGCGGUAGCACAGAGAGCUUGCUCUCGGGUGACGAGCGGCGGACGGGUGAGUAAUGUCUGGGAAACUGCCUGAUGGAGGGGGAUAACUACUGGAAACGGUAGCUAAUACCGCAUAAUGUCGCAAGACCAAAGUGGGGACCUUCGGGCCUCAUGCCAUCAGAUGUGCCCAGAUGGGAUUAGCUAGUAGGU